AAUAAGCGGAGGAAAAGAAACUAACAAGGAUUCCCCUAGUAACGGCGAGUGAAGCGGGAAGAGCUCAAAUUUGAAAUCUGGUAGCCUUCGGUUGCCCGAGUUGUAAUCUAGAGAAGUGUUUUCCGUGCCGGCCCAUGUACAAGUCCCUUGGAACAGGGCGUCAUAGAGGGUGAGAAUCCCGUCCUUGACAUGGACCCCCGGUGCUUUGUGAUACACUUUCAACGAGUCGAGUUGUUUGGGAAUGCAGCUCAAAAUGGGUGGUGAAUUCCAUCUAAAGCUAAAUAUUGGCGAGAGACCGAUAGCGAACAAGUACCGUGAGGGAAAGAUGAAAAGCACUUUGGAAAGAGAGUUAAACAGUACGUGAAAUUGUUGAAAGGGAAACGAUUGAAGUCAGUCAUGCUCUUGGGACUUACCUCCCUUGAGUGGGGUCAACAUCAGUUUUGAUCGAUGGAUAAAGGCACUAGGAAGGUAGCACUCUCGGGUGAACUUAUAGCCUAGCGUCAUAUACAUUGAUUGGGACUGAGGAACGCAGCAUGCCUUUUGGCCGGGAUUCGUCCACGUACAUGCUUAGGAUGUUGACA
rnacentral:rRNA from 1 species